UACGAAGGGGGGCUAGCGUUGCUCGGAAUCACUGGGCGUAAAGCGCACGUAGGCGGCUUCUUAAGUCAGGGGGUGAAAUCCUGGAGCUCAACUCCGGAACUGCCUUUGAUACUGGGAGGCUCGAGUCCGGAAGAGGUGAGUGGAACUGCGAGUGUAGAGGUGAAAUUCGUAGAUAUUCGCAAGAACACCAGUGGCGAAGGCGGCUCACUGGUCCGGUACUGACGCUGAUGUGCGAAAGCGUGGGGAGCAAACAGG
rnacentral:rRNA from 1 species